AGCGAACGCUGGCGGCAGGCCUAACACAUGCAAGUCGAACGGACCCUUCGGGGUUAGUGGCGGACGGGUGAGUAACACGUGGGAACGUGCCUUUAGGUUCGGAAUAGCUCCUGGAAACGGGUGGUAAUGCCGAAUGUGCCCUUCGGGGGAAAGAUUUAUCGCCUUUAGAGCGGCCCGCGUCUGAUUAGCUAGUUGGUGAGGUUAUGGCUCACCAAGGCGACGAUCAGUAGCUGGUCUGAGAGGAUGACCAGCCACAUUGGGACUGCGACACGGCCCAAACUCCUACGGGAGGCAGCAGUGGGGAAUCUUGCGCAAUGGGCGAAAGCCUGACGCAGCCAUGCCGCGUGAAUGAUGAAGGUCUUAGGAUUGUAAAAUUCUUUCACCGGGGACGAUAAUGACGGUACCCGGAGAAGAAGCCCCGGCUAACUUCGUGCCAGCCGCCGCAGUAAUAC
rnacentral:rRNA from 1 species